rnacentral:rRNA from 1 species
GAUGAACGCUGGCGGCGUGCCUAAUACAUGCAAGUCGAGCGAACGGACGCGAAGCUUGCUUCUCUGAUGUUAGCGGCGGACGGGUGAGUAACACGUGGAUAACCUACCUAUAAGACUGGGAUAACUUCGGGAAACCGUAGCUAAUACCGGAUAAUAUUUUGAACCGCAUGGUUCAAAAGUGAAAGACGGUCUUGCUGUCACUUAUAGAUGGAUCCGCGCUGCAUUAGCUAGUUGGUAAGGUAACGGCUUACCAAGGCAACGAUGCAUAGCCGACCUGAGAGGGUGAUCGGCCACACUGGAACUGAGACACGGUCCAGACUCCUACGGGAGGCAGCAGUAGGGAAUCUUCCGCAAUGGGCGAAAGCCUGACGGAGCAACGCCGCGUGAGUGAUGAAGGUCUUCGGAGCGUAAAACUCUGUUAUUAGGGAAGAACAUAUGUGUAAGUAACUGUGCACAUCUUGACGGUACCUAAUCAGAAAGCCACGGCUAACUACGUG